AAAAUUUUUAGUAAUGUUUACCUUACUCAAACUGAAAAUGUACCUAGUUAAUUAAUAUUAUUGAGUGAGACUAUUAAAAUUCAGAUUAAACUAGUAAAUAAAAUAUGAGUACUUGCAAGAUUUCUCUACUAGUAAAUGUACCUGCUAAGACUGAUGAUAUGAAUUUGAUCCCAGAAACCAUAUAAUGUUCAUUAUGGCAUGCAUGCCCAUACCAACAUAAAGGCAACAAUAAUAAUUAAUACAUAUGUUUUAUAGAGGGUGUGAUGUACAAAAUUACCUUCAGAAUAAAAUGUACUCUUUUAAAGAGCAAAUCAAAUAAAAUUAUGCAAAAACAUAUGAAGUAAAUAGUAAGCCACAUGUGCUUUGGAGCUUAAUGUAUAGAGCUUCAAAAAAGAAGCCAGAUGAAGAAAGUAUAUUUAGAAGUAAUAAAAGGUAUUUUUCUGUUCUAUUGAUUCCACCAUUUCUUAAUUCAGCAAUCCUUAUGAUUACUGGACAAAGAUGUAUCACAUGACUACAAAUGUUUGCACUUACUUGCAUGCCUCUGAACCAAUAUUUUUCCUGCCAUGACUAAAUUUAUUAGUUUUAUAAUCCCAUGAAUAUGAUUACUAUAGUAACUGAUCAAUCCACUUGCUUCUUUGUUAGACUUUCACAGCAUAAUAAUGCAUAGACUACAAGUUGAUGUCAGAGUUGCUUAAUUGUCAAUAACAAGUUUCAGUCCCUACUGUUUCUCAGAAGAUGGGUAUUAAAAAUCUAUCAAAAAGAAAAUAAAAGGUAAGAAAAAUGAGAGAUAAAAAUAGCAAGACAGGUGGGAAGAUGCUAAUCAUUCUGUGAAAGUUUGAUUGCUCUCUGAAUAUUUUCAAAGUAUUCCAUUCAGCUGUCUUGGGAGAAGUCAUUAUAGGAGCUUUCCUACAGAUUUAAACUUUCUGUCAUUUUCCUUGCAUGAUAAUUCAUGGCAAGAAGUGUAACAAAUGGCGUAUGAGCCAGCUUCCUAGGUUUGCCAUCUGUAUUAUUAUUUGUCACUAAUUUCCAGGCUUUCAGUUACAAAUAACCUAAUGUGAAGUUUGUGCUGUGGAUGUUUGCACUGGGAAUAGACUUAGGUUUCUGUAAUUUGUUUGGAUAGCUAGUAAAUUAAUGAACUCGUGUUGAGAGAAGGCAUGGCAAAUGCAAAGUACAUAUUCUAGAGACUCCACAGACUUCGUUAAAUUUAAACAUAAUUUGCUGCUGAAAUUGCAAUGAAUAUAGGUUAAGAUUGUACAGUGAUGGUAUUUUCAUGGUUCCUGGGACCCCAAACAGUGAUUGAAUUGGUACCUCUUAAUUUUAAAAACAUUGGCAUUACAAAAAAAUUUGCAUUUGCUUUUAAUGUUAAGAAUUCAGUGUUCCUUGAGGUUUUAAAAUUAUAAGCUAAUUGAAGAAUGUAGAAAAAGGCACAUUGCUUAGAGAGUCCUACCUACUAUUAGAUAUAUUACAGUUAAAAAAUAUAAUUAUAUAACUUUUGGAAGGGAAAAAUAAAAGUACCCAAGACUUGCGGUGCUAGGCCUCUUUUAACCCCCACCAGCAUUCUAAAGACACAUGACUUGUGGUUUUCUUUUUCUCUCUUGGAACCUGACUCUGUCACUCUAAAGGACCUGGACAGAUAACUUUGGAACUAUUUUUCUUAGGCAGUUUUACUGCAGGAGGGCAAUCUAUAUAUGCUACCAUCUUUUCAAGCACUAUUUUCCAGUAACUCUCUUCUAUUUUGAAUUUGCAGUUUUACAGAUGAAGUCUUUGAUAGAUGGAGGUUUGUCCAGGAUCUUGACCACUCCCCAGUACUAAGAACUGCCCUCUGACCUGGCAAACCUCCUAAGAUAAAACAAAAUAAAAUAUAAAAGAAAGAAAAAAAGCAAAAAAAUACCCAUAAAACUUCUUUGUGGAAUCUGGAGUGUGACACAAAGAUGAGAACCUGUGGAUUCCUUCCAGGCUACUGUGAUUUAAUGGAACAAGACUCCCGCAAAUUUCCCAAUGAACCCUAAAUAUACUUCACCCAACAAGCAGCAGGAAGUGUUUUGGAGAAAACUAUACCCAAAUUCCCAAAAUGAUUUUUUAUAAAUGUUUGUUUUCAUUUAAAGGGAGACAUACUACAGAGAUGAAUGAAUACUUUGUACUGAACUUAAGACUUUUCAUGACAAAUAAGACACAUCUGCUCCUG